rnacentral:lncRNA from 1 species
ACGAUUCGUAAUUCUCAAUUAUGAGUACUUCAGUAAUAUACUAUGGCAACUAAAAACAUAUAUUUGUAUUCUCCCAAAAUAAUGUCAUCCAUUGCCAACUCAUAUGGCAUCAUCAAUCAAAAAAUAUAUAUUUUGUUUGCAAAAUAAUUCUUAACAAUGCACAUAUAGUAUACAAGUACACAUGCAAAAGACCUUUAACUACCAGUGGAGUGACUUUGGGUAUGGGUACUGCUACUGAAUGCCAUGGUACCUAUCAAAAGGCGAAUAUAAGUGGACACCUCAAUCUAAGUCCCAACUGUCGCCGAAUCUGAAAAACAUGAAAUUGAAAAGAGUGAGUAUAAACCCAGUGAGUGAACAUAGGAAGGGAACAAGCAAACGAUACGGAAACUUUUAGAAAACACGAUGCACUUAUGUUAAAAACAAUGCAAUUUAGCUUAAUUUCUUGUUAAAACCCUUCAAUUUAGCCUUUGAUUAUUUAAUACCUUAAUGUUGAAAGAUCCGUGAUGGACAAUGAAGUUAAGAGUGAGAAUUGCAGCAGAUCUCGAAACAAGAUAGAGAGUUUCUCGCUGCGGCGAGACUCGAAUUUCGCUGCAGCGAGAAUUAGGGCAGGAUCAAUCCCCCAAGUACGCAAGUUUCUCACUGCAGCGAGAAUCAAUUUAGUUGCAGCAAGAAUAGUGACUCCCAAGACAAAAAGUUUGUCGUUGCAACGAAAAUCAAUUUGGUUGCAGCGAGAACAGUGACUCUCAAGACAAAAAGUUUCUUGCUGCAAUGAAAAUCAAUUUGGCUGCAAUGAAAAUCUCACCCCUAAUGUAGUUUAUAUAUCAUAAACAAACCCGAUGCUAUGUGUAAACACGUAUACAAGAAUUUAUAUGAAUAUAUAUCUACUUUAUAUAUUUAUAUAUGUUUCCAUAUGUUACUUCAAACAUACAUCAAGGACAUUCCACACACCCCCAAAAUAAACAACAUGGUUCAACGCAUACAGCUACCAACGUCACCCCAGCUCAUGUGCACUCUCACACCGCACAUAGCUAAUAUUGUCAUGUGCACUUCCACACCGCUCAUGGCAAAUAUCAUCAUGUACACUCCCACACCGCACUUCACCAUUACCAUCAUGUGUACUUCCACACCACACAUGCACGGUUGUACUUAUCAUAUAAUAUUACCUUUCAAGGUAUAACCUACAUAACAAUAUGUAAACAAAAUCUUUACACAUUAAUACUUUUCGCAUAAUUUAUUGUUUGGCCAUCCACAUGGUUACUCAACCCUAUUUCUUAGGGAAACUAAUUGUAGUACCCUGUAUUUUGAUACGGUGGCUAAUAAAGUUUACGGAUGCCAAUUCAAGUUAAUUACCAAGUUAAAAGGGUAAUUCAGAAGUGAACCUGUGAAAUCUCGAUCUCCAUAGGCACAUAACUAGAAGUAAACGUGAUAAUACGGACCAGGGAUAAUUUCGUAAUUUCUCUUGGUGAGCUCAUAUGAGUGGGUUUUUUUAUGCUAUUAAGGUUUAAAUAGGCCUAAGGAAUUAAUGAAUGAUGUUUAUGAUGGUGAAAUAAAUGAAGAAGAUAAAAAUAAUGAUAAUUUUCAUGGUAGGGGCAAAAUCGUCAUUUUGCAUCUCGAGUCUAAAUUUUUAAGUUUCAUUAACUCGAGAACCUUUAGACUAUUAUGGACUUUGUUUCAGUGUCAAAAAAGCAAAAAGGUUGCACAAAGGAUGGGAGGAAGACAAAGCCACCAUGUUAAGGGCAUUUUGGUAAUUUCAGUGGAAAUUUGGAUUAACUUGAGGCAUAAAUAUCUAAGCUCCAACAGCUUCCAGCAGCUUCUCCUUCUUCUUCUUCCUCCCCUUUCACAUUUCUUCAUCCUCCAUGGAAGCCUCCCUUAAAGCUUCAAUAACUUUAUCUCUCUAGCUUCAAUUUUCAUGCUUUUGAGCACUUUUUCAUAGAACUUUUAUGCUCUUUAACUCUCCCACCUUAAAACCCUCAAAAGUCCUUGUUUAGCACUUUCUCUCACUAGUUGAAAGUUUUAGAGAGAGAAAGAAAGACUCACCGUAGUAGCUUGGAAGCUUUUGAAAAGGAAUUCAACUACAAAAAACCACCAAGGUGAGUAAUAAAUUAGGUUAAAUUUUCAAGUUGUUGAUAAUGGUUGAUGAUUAAAGUGGUGAGUUAAUCUAUUAUUGAGAUUGUUAUUCAUUUUUAAGGUGACUAGAGUAGUGAAAUAAAUAGCCACUUAAUGGUGAUUGAAAGCUAGUUCGGAAUAACUAGCUGAACUUGAAUUAGGAAAUAGCUUUUGAGAGUGUAUUAAUGCCAAUUUGGGUUGGUUGUGAUGUUGUGUGUGUGUAGGUUCCAACAAGGCCUUACAUGUCCAUUUGGAGCAUUAGUUGAGGUUAGAGUCAAGGAAAAGAAUCAACAAGACCGGUGAGUGAACUUGCAUUUCAAAAUAGUUUUGGGAAUGUGAAUGUAUUUGCACAAAAAUCUUUGAAUGAUUUAUCCAACUUUUCUUAAAAAACGGGUGCCUUGGGAACAAGCCUUUGAUAAAUUGUCUCUAUAUGUGACAUGUGACUGUUAUGGAUUCUUGUACUACUCCAUUAUGUUGAUAUAUAUAUAUAUAUAUAUAUAUAUGUUGUGUAAUGAUAUUGACCUGGCUAUGUACGAGUGGGAGUGCACAUAAGCCGAUGCUGACCCGACUAUGUGCGAGUGGGAGUGCGCAGAAGUCGAUGCUGACCCAACUAUGUGCGAGUAGGGAGUGCACAUGAGCGAAAAUAAAUCUCGUUACAGCGAGAAACUCUCGAGUUCUGUUGCAGUGCUUUCACUUUGAUGAAGCUUUUGACCACCUUUCCUUUUGAACUGGGAAAAAUGGUAAACAUUAAAGUUGUAUCCCUACCUCUUAGCUUUCUAAUGGUCCAAAAAUCAGGUUAAUUGGACUUCUGUAACGGGAGAUAUUUUAGAAAAACUGAGACACAUGCAAACUGACACUAUUUCUCGCUGCAGCGAGAAACUUUCUGUUUUGGCCUCCUAAAUCUCGCUGCAGCGAGAAUGAACUUCGUUGUAGUGAGAAACUUGCUGCCAUGCUUGCUACCUUGCUUGAUUUUGACAUAUUUUUCACCCAUUUAAUUUCAUGGAUCGAUCUUGGAUUUUUGCAACACUAUGAGGUUAUUAAUCAAAGUUUGAAAUGAAGGGUUUUAGUAAGCAAUUAAACCAAUUGCAUUGUUUUUGAAACAAGUGCAUCAUAAUUUCUAAAUUCUUCCUAUUGAUUGCUUGUUCCCUUCUUAUGUUCACUCAUUGAGUUUUAUACUCACGUUUUUAAACUUUAUGUUUUCAGAUUUGGAGGUAGUUGGGACCUAGAUUGAGUCGCACAUAUAUUCUCGCCUUCUUGGUUGGUACUAUGGUAUCUCAGUAGCUGUAUCUUCACCUAAAGUCACUCUGCUGACGGUCAAGAGUCUUAUGCUUGUGUACAUAUAUAAGUAAUCAAGACCGCUAAGAUUCAUGUUAAAAAUCAAAUAUGUAUGUUUGAUUGCUGAAGCCACUGUAAGGUGGCAAAUGAGUGAUACUAUGUUAGCAUAAUAUAAUUGUGAGUAUUGGGUUACUAUAAAAUGUUUUUGAAAUAUUUUUAGUUGAUAAUUACAAUAUGGGUUUGAGAAAUGAUGGUUUGGAAUGAUGAUCGGGAUUGCAUAAAUAGGCUUGUUUGGACUUAGUGGGCUAUGCCCAUUGGGCCCAUGCAUUGGUCAUAGCUUGGAAUUUGGGCUGUGACAUUAAUAUUGACCGUCAUACAGCUAUUUGUCACAUAUCAAAAUUAUCAUUGCAUCACAUGCCACAAUUCACAUGGUAAUUUAACAUAAUAUAGGAAACACACGAAUACAUCACAUUACACAUUUCACAAUGUAAAGACACUUCAUCAAAGGCUUGUUUCCAUGCAUGUUUUUAAAGAAAAGACAAAUAAAAUUUUUCAAGUGAUUCAUUCAAACGCAUAUGCAUUUAUCCCAAACAUUUUAAAUGCAAGUUCACUCACUUGUCUUUGUUGAUUUUCCUUUUUUUGAUCUGCUCCAACCUCAACUAAUGCUCCAAGUGGAAAUGUGGGGUCUCGUUGGAACCUAUCACAUAUAAUAGCCUCACAACCAACCCAAUUUGCGUGAAUAUAAAUCCAAAGGCUGUUUCCUAAAUCAAACUUUACUAGUUUUUCCUAACUAGUUUUUCAAUCACUAUUUGACUAGUCAACUUAAUACUAACUCCAACAAAUUUCAUAACACUUUUUUCAUUACUUCCACUUUCUAGCACCUAUAUCAUCCUUAAAAUUCAAAAUUCCAAACUUAAUUAAUUCCCUUAGUGACAUCUUACACCAACACAAUGCUCUUUAUUAAACUAGUCAUUUGUUUGCACUAUUCUAAUCACAUUAGAAAUAAAUAAUCACAUAUCCAUUUCAAUAUAACCUUCAAUAAUAAAACAGCCCACAAAUCUAAUUAUUGGCCAUCAUUAAUAAUUUAAAAAUCAACCCUAACUCAUUACUCACCUUAGGGGACUUGUAGUUGAAUUUCCCUAGUGAAGAUUAAAGAGGGGAAAAUUCUUUUCAGAGUUUUUAAGCUAUUUUGAAGAGUUUCUCUCUCUUAAAACGUUCAACUAGUGAAAGAAAGUAUGGAGGAAAACUUUUUAAGGGUUUUUGAGGUGAAAAAGUGAAAGAGCAUGAAAAAUCCUAUGAAAAAGUGUACAAAAGCAUGAGAUUUGGAGUUAAUAUGAAAAAGUUAUGGAGGUUUCAAUGAUGGCCUCCAUGGAAGAUGGAAAGUUUUGAAAUGGGGAGGAGAAAUGGGAAGAAGAAGAAGAAAGUGCUGGAAAGU